rnacentral:rRNA from 1 species
UACGUAGGGUGCGAGCGUUGUCCGGAAUCAUUGGGCGUAAAGCGCGUGUAGGCGGCCCGGUAAGUCCGCUGUGAAAGUCCAGGGCUCAACCCUGGGAUGCCGGUGGAUACUGUCGGGCUCGAGUCCGGAAGAGGCGAGUGGAAUUCCUGGUGUAGCGGUGAAAUGCGCAGAUAUCAGGAGGAACACCAAUGGCGAAGGCAGCUCGCUGGGACGUGACUGACGCUGAGACGCGAAAGCGUGGGGAGCGAACAGG